GAAAAGCAUUAUACUAUAGUGAUUAAUAGUUUAGACCAGGAGUUUGACCAAGGAUGAAAGCCCAGCCCACUAUGAUCUAAAACAAGUCACUGUAUUUUUCGGACUAUAAGAUGCCUCCCCCCACCCCCGCCCCCGCCCAUUUGGAAGGAAUACUGGUUGUUAAUGCUGCUGCUGAGUUCUGUUUACAUUUACAUUGGUGAAAUAUUAUGUUAUCAAAUAUUUUGCCACAUUUUUUGCUUUAAAAAAUUUUCCCCCUAUUUUCCUCCUCUAAAACCUAGGCACGUCUUGUGGUCCGAAAAAUACAGUAACUUUGUUUAAAAUGC